rnacentral:rRNA from 1 species
AGAGUUUGAUCCUGGCUCAGGAUGAACGCUGGCGGCGUGCUUAACACAUGCAAGUCGAACGGUGAACACGGAGCUUGCUCUGUGGGAUCAGUGGCGAACGGGUGAGUAACACGUGAGCAACCUGCCCCUGACUCUGGGAUAAGCGCUGGAAACGGCGUCUAAUACUGGAUAUGUGACGUGACCGCAUGGUCUGCGUCUGGAAAGAAUUUCGGUUGGGGAUGGGCUCGCGGCCUAUCAGCUUGUUGGUGAGGUAAUGGCUCACCAAGGCGUCGACGGGUAGCCGGCCUGAGAGGGUGACCGGCCACACUGGGACUGAGACACGGCCCAGACUCCUACGGGAGGCAGCAGUGGGGAAUAUUGCACAAUGGGCGCAAGCCUGAUGCAGCAACGCCGCGUGAGGGACGACGGCCUUCGGGUUGUAAACCUCUUUUAGCAGGGAAGAAGCGAAAGUGACGGACC